GAAGAUAUUUAUGUUCCUCCUGGAUUCACGGUUGAGUCAUUGAACAUGAAAAACAAAUAAUCUGAGGGCUUGGAUGCAUGAGCCAUUUUACGACAGUAUGAGUUGAAGUUUUCUGCUACUAUUCAACAAAGUGUAUACCCUAAGCAACAUACCAUACAAAGACCAUCUCCAAGGCUCAACGUGAAAGUGUGCAUUCACUUUACUGCUCUUUGUCUCCCAGUGGAUCUCAGCAGCACAAGCCUUGAUUUAAUCCAGGACUGCUGUAUUGCUGUGCAUGUUGUGCAUGGAAUGCAUUCAGGAGCAUCUCACGUUCAGUUUGAUGUAAAGAAUACUGCCUUGAAGUCUGUGAUGGCGAACUGGCAAAGCUAAGUGUGGUGGCCCUGCUCUGUGAAAUGAUGAUUUCCUAUCUGGCAAAUCCCCACCUCUUGACCAGCAGUCUUGAGAAAUAGGGUUUUGGCUGAAC